GGGUCAGUAGGUUCGUCGUGCCACCGGUACGUACUGGUCUCACUGAUUCCUCCUUCCUGAAGAACCGUAAUGCCAUUAAUUUGGUGUUGCGGGGAAACAGGACUGUUACUUUGAAAAAAUUAUAGUGUUUAAAGCAAGCUAACGCUAGAAUACAUUAGCAUGGAAUAAUGAAAUAGGACGAUCGAUCCUAUUUUGUUGGUUUCUAGGAUUGACGUA
rnacentral:rRNA from 1 species